rnacentral:rRNA from 1 species
GACAGAGGGUGCAAACGUUGUUCGGAAUUACUGGGCGUAAAGCGUGUGUAGGCGGCUAUGUAAGUCGGAUGUGAAAGCCCCGGGCUCAACUCGGGAAGUGCACUCGAUACUGCGUAGCUAGAGUACCGGAGAGGUUGGUGGAAUUCUCGGUGUAGAGGUGAAAUUCGUAGAUAGUCGAGAGGAACACCGGUGGCGAAGGCGGCCAACUGGACGAGUACUGACGCUGAGACACGGAAAGCGUGGGGAGCAAACAGG